UCAGCCAGGCCCAGACCUCCAACCUCACUUUUUUUGAGCUUCACAGCCUUCACCAAGAGUUUGGGUGCGACAAAGUUCCCUAGGGGUCUCUUGAGACCAUGUCCAAUACCAAGCACCCAAACAAAUCACCAUUGAUAAGUGCAAGUGUGGAAUCGCCAACCUUGUGCAUCAAUGUUCAGUGGGUACUCAAGGUACCCAAAGAACUGCUUACACAAAAACCUCAUUAUAAGAGUAGUGUGUGAUUGUGAUAGAGUUUGAAGGAGUUGAGUUAGAAACAGUUGAAAGACAGUUUGAGAAAACAGUAAUAGGAGAGUGAAAGAGUCCUUCUGAAAUCAAUUUAGGCUGACCAAUUUUGAAAACAAAAGGGUCAUACAAACAAGGGCAUGGGAAAAAGGGACAAAUAGUUCAGAAGCAAGGAAAAUCAUUCACACAUGUAUAAUACAUCAAAGAGAAGCAAUCAAGCAUACUUCAAAUAAGGAGUUUAAUUCUUACUGCACCAAACUCCAAAGAGGGUCAACCUUAAGAAGAGGUCUCAAGGCUAUUGAGUAGCCAGGCAAGACCUAAACAUAUGGUAGUAGUGCACAGGAGUGAGGAAAAAACAUGCAUUGGGAUAAGAGAGGGGGCAUACUACAAGUAGGGUCAACCCCAGGAAGAGGUUUCAAGGCUAUUGAGUAGCCAGGCAGGACCUGAACACAUGCUAGUAGUGCACAAGAGUGAUGAAAAACCAUGUAUUGGGAUAGGAGAGGGGGAAAUGACAUGCCAAGUCAGGCUAGGCAUACUAAUUAUCAUAAGUAUAUGCUAGUGGCAAUAAGAAUAAUAGAACCACAAGUAAAAACACACAAAAAAUAGGAGGAAGUGCAACACUAAUAGAAGCAUUUUUUUAGGCUAGAACAUAAAUGGAAUACAUAACAGUUGGAAAAUAAUGUAAACACAGAGAAGUAGUGAGCAAGGAAGUGAGCAGUAAUAUGCAGAGAGAAGCAAAGAGCAGAGCAGCAAUAUGCAGGAAGUGAGCAGCAGUAUACAAGGAGGAGGAGCAGACAGACCCAAAGCAAACAACACAGUAGAAGCCAACAAAGUGAAAGUGACCAAGAUUACUCAACUUUCGCUUCCAGCCAGAUUAGUGAUUAGCAUUCAACAGGAAAAGUGAAAGACUAUUGUGUUGAAACAAAUAGCACAAAGAUGUUUGUGUGAAAAGAGAGAGUUCAGAGCACUGAGUGCAAGUGAUAUGCAAUGUGUUUGUUGGGAUCUUGCAAAGAGAACGGGGGUGGGCUGGUAUCAAUCACAAUCUAGUCAGUUGUUGGACUGCCCUUUAAUUAAGGGAUCCCUAAUCAAACGGUAAUAAUCAUUCAUUUAAAUGGAAAGAAAUUACCAAGUAAGGUAUAAUCACAUAAGGAAACAGAGUAGCAUAAAGCAUGCAAUAAGGACUGGGUACAUGACCAUCUAAUUAAGGAAAUUGAUCAGACAAAUCAAUCAACAAAUUUGUGUACAUAUAUCAGGCAAAAUACCAUCGUAAUUCUGACAGAAUAGUUUUCAAAAUAAUGACUGAGAUUGAAACCUAAGAAAUCAGUAUUAACUGAGGAAAGUAUCCCAUAAAUUAAGGAAGAAAUUCAAACUAUAGGGAAAAUAUGCGGAAUCACAAUUUGAAAGCAAGUACCAUA
rnacentral:lncRNA from 1 species